rnacentral:rRNA from 1 species
AAGCUCGUAGUUGAAUUUCGGGGUCAGUAGGUUGGUCGUGCCACCGGUACGUACUGGCCUCACUGAUUCCUCCUUCCUGAUGAGCUGUAAUGCCAUUAAUUUGGUGUUGCAGGGAAUCUGGACUGUUACUUUGAAAAAAUUGAGUGUUUAAAGCAGGCUAACGCUUGAAUACAUUAGCAUGGAAUAAUGAAAUAGGACGUUCGAUCCUAUUUUGUUGGUUUCUAGGAUUGACGUAAUGAUUAAUAGGGAUAGUUGGG